UACGAAGGCUCCAAGCGUUAUCCGGAUUUAUUGGGCGUAAAGCGUGCGUAGGAGGUUUGAUGCGUCUUGUUUUAAAUGUCCGGGCUUAACCUGGUCGCUGGACAAGAUACGGUCAAACUAGAGGAUGCUAGAGGCAAGUGGAACACAUGGUGUAGGGGUGAAAUCCGUUGAUAUCAUGUGGAACACCGAAGGCGAAGGCAACUUGCUGGGGCACUCCUGACUCUCAGGGCACGAAAGCGUGGGGAGCAAAAAGG
rnacentral:rRNA from 1 species